ensembl:lncRNA
AAUUUGUGGAGGGCAGUUUCAAGGCCGCUCCUGAUUAAAACAGACGGAUAACAGACUUGAUUAUUGCUCCAUCUACAGAAGAUUACGAGACCUGUAGAUCAAAUUUUUUUUUUUUUUUUUUUUUAGAGGUAUACAUAUAUGUGUGUAUACAAUGUGUGUAUGUAUUUGUGAAGUGUGUAUAUAUAGGCGUCUAUAUAUAUGUAUAUAUAUAAUAUAUAAUAUAUAUUAUAGUGACGAGGCUUAGGAGUGGAUUUGCAUAUGCCUUUAUUCUUGAAUAAUCUGUAUUCAGGUAUUAAAAAAGUGUUUAUAUAGCCUAUAUUUUAAACAUUUUCAAACGGUAAUACAGUGAGUGAAUAUCCUGCAAGCCUGUUUAUUAAUUAGCUUUUAAAAAAAAAAAAAACCCAUCCUAUUGUUUAUUUUACACAGGCACUAUUAAUUACUCACCCAGGCUAUAACUUUAUCUUUGCAACUUUUUAAGUUUAGCUUUGUCCCCCUGUCUGGAUUUAGUUUAACACUAAAUUUUUAGAUUAUAUACCAUGACAGGCUUGCUACAGUGUUAAAUUAGCAACUUUUAUUUUAGCCCAAACGCAAAAAAAAGGCGCGGGGGGGGGCAUGGCGGCAUUUGUUUUGUUUUUGUUCAGGGUAAUAAACAAUGUGUAUGUCUCUGUUCGAGAUUACCAUUUGUAGAAAAUCAGCACUCCUUUUUUUAAAAAAUAAAUAAAUAAAUAAAUGAAAUAAAAGAAAGAAGUGUGUGAAUUGUUUUCUUGUUUUUUAAAUAAUUGGGCUAUAUAUUGGAUGAUUAAAUUGUUGAUUUAGAAAAAAAAAAGCGAGCGGUGCGGUUUCAAGCUGCCCCUCUGUCGCGCCCUGGUGAGGCGGUUUCAAGUCUUCCUCCUCUCUGGAAAGGAAAAGGAGUGUAAAGUGAAGGGGAAGCAACAUGCAACGUGUCCACGGUGAUGUGUGAUUAUUUUUUUUCUCUCGCUCUUUCUCUCUCUCUCUCUUUUCAGGUUCGGGCGAGCAUCCUGUGUCAUCUUCACUUUUAAGCACUUUUCAUGCACUUUGGAUUGUUCUUGUGUUUUUUUGUUUUUGACUCUGCGUGGGAAUGUCUCCAUUAAAACUACCCGGCUAUUCUUCCUGAAGGUUCACGGCUGGAGAAGUUAUUAAGAGGCAAUAAAUAGUCUUUGCCUCCACUUUUAUUCACGCUACUGUGGGGUUUGCGCCAAGAAGACGUACAACGACGUGUCUAUCUAUCUAGUUUCUCUCUCUUUUUUUGCGCUGUUGUUUAGCAUUAAGUGAGAGGCUCGCGCCUUUGUUCUGGCUGCUGAACCGCGCGCGGCGCCGACAUUUUCUGUUUUUAAUUGUUCGCUCGUGACAGUCACUGACUGCUUCUUGUUAAGGGAAGCUUCGUGGAGAUCCUGGGGGACUCUGACUUGCCAUCCUCGAGUCUUAUGGCCGUUGACAGCUCCACACUUGACAGGCAGCCCAGACGAGCUGCCACUGCACAUGGAGCCCCUCCCAAGAAGACGGGUCCUGCUGGGGUUUAAUCUCAGCGUGGCGGCCCAUUCUCCUGACAGGCUUUAAUUCUCUCUGGGCUCCAUUCAUCAUACACUGUCUGUCAUGCGCCUUUAAUCAAAUGUACCGCGGGAUACUCACAUCUCGGCCAAACCGCCCAGGCCCACUUUACACCAUCACAUAUAUUCACGGUUCUUUUAUUCAUGAGUUUGUUUGCCUUUCAUGUUAUGUUGUUCUAGCCUGUGCUCUGUCUGUCCGUGAUUGACAGGAACGUGGCAUCCAGACUACAUCAUGCGGUGCAGUUUUUUUUUUUUUUUUUAUGCGAGAAGGGCAUUAUGGAUUGAGAUUAUGAUCAAAUUAUGCAGACGGUAUCACGAUUUUUUUAUUUUUU